GACGAACGCUGGCGGCGUGCUUAACACAUGCAAGUCGAACGGAAAGGCCCUGCUUUUGUGGGGUGCUCGAGUGGCGAACGGGUGAGUAACACGUGAGUAACCUGCCCUUGACUUGGGGAUAACUUCAGGAAACUGGGGCUAAUACCCAAUAGGAGCACCUGCUGCAUGGUGGGGGUUGGAAAGUUUCGGCGGUUGGGGAUGGACUCGCGGCUUUUCAGCUUGUUGGUGGGGUAGUGGCUUACCAAGGCUUUGACGGGUAGCCGGCCUGAGAGGGUGACCGGCCACAUUGGGACUGAGGUACGGCCCAGAGUCCUACGGUAGGCAGCAGUGGGAAAUAUUGCACAAUGGGCGGAAGCCUGAUGCAGAAACGCCGCGUGUGGGAUGACGGCCUUCGGGUUGUAAACCGCUUUCGCCUGUGACGAAGCGUGAGUGACGGUAAUGGGUAAAGAAGCACCGGCUAACUACGUG
rnacentral:rRNA from 1 species